rnacentral:rRNA from 1 species
UGGACUGCGGGCGGGGGUGUUGGGUAAUGCGGCGGGGGUGAGCGUUGGCCGGCAUUACUGGGUGUAAAGCGCUCGUAUGUGGUUUGUCGCGUCGUCUGUGAAAUACCGGGGCUUAACUUCGGAGCUGCAGGCGAUACGGGCAUAACUUGAGUGCUGUAGGGGAGACUGGAAUUCCUGGUGUAGCGGUGAAAUGCGCAGAUAUCAGGAGGAACACCGAUGGCGAAGGCAGGUCUCUGGGCAGUAACUGACGCUGAGGAGCGAAAGCAUGGGUAGCGAACAGGAUUAGAUACCCGGGUAGUC